rnacentral:pre_miRNA from 1 species
CUAAUACUCCCUCCGUCCAGAAAUACUUGUCAUCAAAAUGGAUAAAAGGGGAUGUAUCUAGAUGUAUUUUAGUUCUAGAUACAUCUCUUUUUAUUCAUUUUGAUGACAAGUAUUUUCGGACGGAGGGAGUAUAAG